CUACGGGUCGCAGCAGUGGGGAAUCUUAGACAAUGGGCGCAAGCCUGAUCUAGCCAUGCCGCGUGAGUGAUGAAGGCCUUAGGGUCGUAAAGCUCUUUCGCUGGGGAAGAUAAUGACGGUACCCAGUAAAGAAACCCCGGCUAACUCCGUGCCAGCAGCCGCGGUAAUACGGAGGGGGUUAGCGUUGUUCGGAAUUACUGGGCGUAAAGCGCGCGUAGGCGGACUGUUAAGUCGGGGGUGAAAUCCCGGGGCUCAACCCCGGAACGGCCUUCGAUACUGGCAGUCUGGAGUUCGAGAGAGGUGAGUGGAAUUCCGAGUGUAGAGGUGAAAUUCGUAGAUAUUCGGAGGAACACCAGUGGCGAAGGCGGCUCACUGGCUCGAUACUGACGCUGAGGUGCGAAAGUGUGGGGAGCAAACAGGAUUAGAUACCCCUGUAGUC
rnacentral:rRNA from 1 species